AUUGAACGCUGGCGGCAGGCCUAACACAUGCAAGUCGAACGAGUGGCGGACGGGUGAGUAAUGUCUGGGAAACUGCCUGAUGGAGGGGGAUAACUACUGGAAACGGUAGCUAAUACCGCAUACCAUCGGAUGUGCCCAGAUGGGAUUAGCUAGUAGGUGGGGUAAAGGCUCACCUAGGCGACGAUCCCUAGCUGGUCUGAGAGGAUGACCAGACCCACGGGAAUUGAGACACGGUCCAGACUCCUACGGGAGGCAGCAGUGGGGAAUAUUGCACAAUGUGCGCCAUCCUGAUGCAGCCAUGCCGGGUGUAUGAAGAAGGCCUUCGGGUUGUAAAUUACUUUCAGCUGGGAGGCGUUACCCGCAGAAGAAGCACCGGCUAACCCCGUGCCAGCAGCCGCGGUAAUUC
rnacentral:rRNA from 1 species